GCAAUAGCUCAAUUGGUAGAGCACCGGUCUCCAAAACCGGCGGUUGGGGGUUCGAGUCCCUCUUGCC
rnacentral:tRNA from 1 species